UACGUAGGGUCCGAGCGUUGUCCGGAAUUACUGGGCGUAAAGAGCUCGUAGGUGGUUUGUCGCGUUGUUCGUGAAAACUCACAGCUCAACUGUGGGCGUGCGGGCGAUACGGGCAGACUGGAGUACUGCAGGGGAGACUGGAAUUCCUGGUGUAGCGGUGGAAUGCGCAGAUAUCAGGAGGAACACCGGUGGCGAAGGCGGGUCUCUGGGCAGUAACUGACGCUGAGGAGCGAAAGCGUGGGGAGCGAACAGGAUAGAA
rnacentral:rRNA from 1 species